rnacentral:rRNA from 1 species
CCUACGGGUGGCAGCAGUGGGGAAUAUUGGACAAUGGGGGCAACCCUGAUCCAGCCAUGCCGCGUGUGUGAAGAAGGCCCUCGGGUUGUAAAGCACUUUCAGUGAGGAAGAACGCCUGGUGGUUAAUACCCAUCAGGAAAGACAUCACUCACAGAAGAAGCACCGGCUAACUCCGUGCCAGCAGCCGCGGUAAUACGGAGGGUGCGAGCGUUAAUCGGAAUUACUGGGCGUAAAGCGCGCGUAGGUGGCUUGAUAAGCCGGUUGUGAAAGCCCCGGGCUCAACCUGGGAACGGCAUCCGGAACUGUCCAGCUAGAGUGCAGGAGAGGAAGGUAGAAUUCCCGGUGUAGCGGUGAAAUGCGUAGAGAUCGGGAGGAAUACCAGUGGCGAAGGCGGCCUUCUGGACUGACACUGACACUGAGGUGCGAAAGCGUGGGUAGCAAACAGGAUUAGAUACCCGAGUAGUC